AUAUAUUUAUACAAACAUACAUACACUCCAUCUCUAUAUUUGCUGCUAAUAACCAGGAAAAUUAGGAGAUUGAUGAUACCUUUAAGCCAAUCUUUGCAUUCCUAUUGUUUUUAGUGAGGGUUCUGAACAUAUCCUAUACAUCUCAGCCGAGCAGGGGUGUAUAUGCAUAUACAUUUCUCUUCUGAGAGAAAUUGGGUACUUAUAUUCAAGGACCGUAACCCAUUAUGAUUCUUGAAGUGUCUCUUUAAUAUUGUGUAACUAAUAGCAAUUCUAUCCGGGUCUAAUUGUAAACCCUAUCCUGCAAAGUCUGCAGAACUUAAUACAGGCUAGUAUUUGUCUUAAUGUGCUCUGAUUAAUUAAUAGGUUCUGUAAGCAUCUUUAGAAAACUGUCAGCAUUGAUUAUUUUGGCUAAAACAUACUAAUCCUGUUUAUUAACAAUAUCUACAACAUUCUUCAUACCUUAACAAUAUUUGUUCUGUUCUUCAGAUAUCAUGGUAAAGUAAUAACUUUAAACGGAGUGGACAAUAUUCACUACACAUGCAUUGUUGUGAGGGCUUGUGAUGGAGUUUGCAUAAUUAAGGCAAAAAUAGCUGAAUUAGAGUAAAAACAAAUAUGUAUUAAUACUGAUUGCAAAUUAGCAAGUCCUUAAGACUCAUGGUUUAAUGAAUAGACUCCGGUGUCUUUUGUUAUGUAUAUUUUUUGUUUUUUAAGCAUCAUAAGAGAUUUGCUUAUAAUAAGAAACCGAAAAUAAAUAUUGGAAUAUUUAAGCUCUCAUUAUGCAAAUGUUAAAAAAAAAAGUAUGUUAUUUCUAACAUUCCAAAAUAAAAAUCCUAAUUUUGUAAUUUA